GAAAAGUCCAUUCAAAAGCCAAGAAAAGUCAGGUUGAGAUCAAUUGCAAUGCUUUGUUUUCUGUGGUAUUGCACUUGUCCCAGCCUGUUGAGGUUGCUGGGGAUUGUGGCUGAAAGAU
rnacentral:precursor_RNA from 13 species